rnacentral:lncRNA from 1 species
AGUCUUAGGAAAUAAGCUUCUGACUUUUGCAGAAGUUCCUGGCACUACAGGGAAACGAGUGACUGAAAUGGGAAAGGCUUCUCUGCCUCGACUUGCUGGUUGACCUCAGGCAGGCUAAUUUUCCCUCUGUGGGCUUCAGUUCUUCGCUUCUAAGCUGAGGGAGUUGAACUUGAUGUCUAAGUUCACUUCUAGCUCUAAAAUUCAAUGAGUUAAAUCAGAAGCGUUGGUGAGGUGCAAGGCUUUAAAGCACAAACUUCCUCAGCAGGGCUGGAUUCCCCCUGGAUGGGCGCCCAGCUCUCUUCUUCCCGCCGGGAGGGAAAAGAUCUAAUGGUACUGGUGAAUAUUAGCAUACUGUCCUCUAAGUGCUUGUUGCCUACCUUCUGGCAUUCAACAUUCAUUGAUCUUCUGGAAAUGGGCCACGCCCUUGGAUGCAAUCUAGAAUAUACACCCAAUACUGAAUUAAUUACAACAAGUUAAAAUUACGCAGUGUGGCUCCUUGAAGCAAACAUGGACUUUGAUAUAAGGGAGUGUUGGAUUUGCAACCUGACAGGACAUCUUAGGAGUUGUGUGACUUUGGCUUCUUUGGGUUACUUCUCUGAAGCUUAGUUUCUUUUUCUGUAAAAUGGAGGAAGUGCUGCUUACAAGGUUUUUUUUUUUUUUUUUUAGAGGUUAAAAGAGAUAACGG